rnacentral:miRNA from 1 species
GCGUGGACGUGUCCAUGCCAUUGUAUAUUUGUGUUCAAAUUACUUUUUUAACUUGGCGUGGACGCGUCCAUGCCAUCAAUGGCAUGGACAAGUUAAUUAAUUAAAAAAGUAAUUGGAACAUAAAUAUACAAUGGCAUGGAUCCGUCCAAUGCAU